AUUGAACGCUGGCGGCAUGCUUUACACAUGCAAGUCGAACGGUAACAGGCCGCAAGGUGCUGACGAGUGGCGAACGGGUGAGUAAUGCAUCGGAACGUGCCCAGUCGUGGGGGAUAACUACUCGAAGGAGUAGCUAAUACCGCAUACGAUCUAUGGAUGAAAGCGGGGGACCGUAGGGCCUCGCGCGAUUGGAGCGGCCGAUGUCAGAUUAGGUAGUUGGUGGGGUAAAGGCUCACCAAGCCAACGAUCUGUAGCUGGUCUGAGAGGACAACCAGCCACACUGGGACUGAGACACGGCCCAGACUCCUACGGGAGGCAGCAGUGGGGAAUUUUGGACAAUGGGCGCAAGCCUGAUCCAGCAAUGCCGCGUGCAGGAAGAAGGCCUUCGGGUUGUAAACUGCUUUUGUACGGAACGAAACGGCUCUGGUUAAUACCCGGGGCUAAUGACGGUACCGUAAGAAUAAGCACCGGCUAACUACGUG
rnacentral:rRNA from 1 species